rnacentral:lncRNA from 1 species
CCUGCUUGGGCUGCAGCUUACGCUACGAAGUUCCGGUCCAAGUCUCCUACCUCCAGCUGGUACGCAGGCAGCGUCGGAGCGGAGUCGAGCUGGUCAGGAUGAUCACAGACGUUCAGCUCGCCAUCUUCGCCAACAUGCUGGGCGUGUCGCUAUUCUUGCUUGUGGUUCUCUAUCACUACGUGGCCGUCAACAAUCCCAAGAAGCAGGAAUGAAAGUGGCGCUUUCUCCGCCCCAGGGUUCCAGGACAUAGUCUGAGGCAAGAUGGAGGGUGUGAGGGGCCUUCACACUUCACUUCAUCCCUUCUACCCAUCACAACAUACAAAGAAACUACACCUGGAUUUUUCCAAACAACUUUUAUUUCCUCAAAGUCUUCCUUAACCCUAUGGAACAAGAAGCUGCCACUGAAUAGGGCCCAGUAUAGGGGCUGCUUUUCUACUCCCUCCCCUCCCCCCAAUACAAAAAUAUAGAUAUAUAUUUUUUGUGGUCCCGAAAUCUUGUGCUGUGGAGGGAGGGAAGGGGUACAGGUCCCUG